rnacentral:rRNA from 1 species
UUUCGAAUCAUUCACAAUGGGCGAAAGCCUGAUGGUGCGACGCCGCGUGAGGGAUGAAGGUCUUCGGAUUGUAAACCUCUGUCACCGGGGAAGAAACGCUUUGAGUUAAUAGUUCAAAGCCUGACUUAACCCGGAGAGGAAGCAGUGGCUAACUCUGUGCCAGCAGCCGCGGUAAUACAGAGACUGCAAGCGUUAUUCGGAUUCACUGGGCGUAAAGGGUGCGCAGGCGGCCAAGUGUGUGAGGCGUGAAAGCCCGGGGCUUAACCCCGGAAUUGCACCUCAAACUACAUGGCUAGAGCAUUGGAGAGGGUAGCGGAAUUCACGGUGUAGCAGUGAAAUGCGUAGAUAUCGUGAGGAACACCAGAGGCGAAGGCGGCUACCUGGACAAUUGCUGACGCUCAGGCACGAAAGCGUGGGGAGCAAAAGGGAUUAGAUACCCCCGUAGUCC